UUUGUUUCCUCCUACUUUAGCAUAGAUGCGUCCCGUGAAGAUGGCUCACUGGGAAGGCUGGUGAAUGAUUGCCACAAGUCACCAAAUUGUAAAAUGAAAAGGUUGACAGUCCAGGGUAAACCUCAUCUUUGCUUAUUCGCAAUUGAAAACAUCCAAGCAGAGACUGAAAUAACCUACGAUUAUGGAGAUUCUCAAUGGCCAUGGCGUAAUCUGACACCAAGUGGCAUGAUCCAGUCUCAACCUUCAGGAGACCCAGAAGUGAGCGAGAGAUCCAGUUCGACCUUCCAACAGACACCAAGUGGCAUGAUCCAGUCUCAACCUUCAGGAGACCCAGAAGUGAGCGAGAGAUCCAGUUCGACCUUCCAACA